UGCUGUUGUCAUACUUUCUUAAAAAUAAAAUUUUUGGUCUAUCACUUUGAAUGUGCUUGAUCUUGGAAGCUAAGCAGGGUCAGACCUGGUUAGGACUUGGUAUGGGAGACCACAUGGGAAUACCAGGUGCUGUAGGGU
ensembl:rRNA 5S_rRNA 5S ribosomal RNA